rnacentral:lncRNA from 1 species
UUAUUUCUACUGUGUUUUAAAAAUAAGAAACUGAACUUAAUUACUAGGAUGUGCAGUUUUCAUUCUCCUAUGACUGCCAUGCCAUGGUAUGCCAAGCUAAAUCUUGGGUGAUCGUUAGCCAAAACAAAAGUUCUGGGUUAUUACAAGGAGCGAGAUGUCUAGGCCAUUGUCGAUGAUUUUGAAGAGUUCGACAGGACAAAUGCAACUCACAGUCACACGUACAGUGUCUGAAAUUUGCCUUGAAUGAUUUCUUUAGAAAACUUUUGCUUAAAAAGUAUGAAGCAUAUUCUGUUGGGAGCAGAAUUUUAUGAGACGUUCUUUGUAAUAAGCAAAAUGUCUUAAACCUUAAGCUUAAGGAAACCAAAUAUAGUUUCUUGCUAAAUCGAAAUGUACUGUGACUUGUCUAAAUGCCUGCUUGCUAACAGCCGGCCCCUAUGGUUGUCAAGACCCUAGACGUUAAAGUGAGAGCUCAAGACACGCCCCUCCUUCGCCUUGCCUCAAGGCCGGCACUGCUUGCUAAAGCACACAAUUUCUUAUUUUUUUUUUUUUAUUUUAGGUUUCUUAGUAUGAAUGUUACAGUGAGAUGCAAGUGAUACCCAAAAAAUCGAUUCAUCUACCAAGAGGCAACCAAAUGGUUCUUUAAUCAUCAAACACAAAUAUCUAAAAAGAGUGAUGGUGACAAUCAUAAGUCGAAGUUCAUAAAUGAUAAUUUCACAUGUAAAAAUUUCUAAAAUUAGAUAAUAUAGAUGGAAACAUUUUGUAACAUAAACCAAGUUUUAAACAUCAAUGGUUUCAAGUUUGCAAUUUUGUUUUAAAACUUUUUAUUGUAUUUCCUCUAAAAACAUUAAUAAUCAAUUAUGACCUCAAUUCAAACCAUGAAGUUGAAGUCUUACUCUAGAAAACACUGUUUCCUUGUAUAUUACUAAAUUCAUCAAUCAUUGUGAAAGGUAUGUGCUCACCACUUCGAAGAUCAAAGAAAAAACAUUAUGCCAAACUAUGAAUAGGAUGAUUAACCUUUCACUGUCAAGAAACAUUAUGCCAAAUUACUCACUAAAUAACACAAGAUAAUCGCAUUUAGAAGACUUGAGAAACGCACUUAGCCAUUAAAAGCCCUCUAUAAACUAAUACAAAUACCAGACGCUACCUUCAAUUUCAGCCAUCACAAAUCCACCACGUAGUUCUCUACGUGUUCACAUAGAAUCAGAGACAAUUAAGGAUUUAAUUUUAAAUCCUAAUUUCUGUUCCUACAGUCCACGAAACUGUAGAACCAGUCGAAUUUUCUGACCCAACACAAACACAGUUUCACUUUCACUCCUUUCUCCUACAACCUCGCCGGAGAAACCGAGCUUCCCUUCAAUCUGUAAUAGUCUGUAAAUCUCUCAUUUAUUCACAUAAACUCUAACUUCAACUCUAAUUCCUAUCUGGGUCGCCUUCUUUUUCUUCUCUAGUCCAACAUUUCUGAUCAAAAUCCAAACUUUAUUGAUUCCUGUUGCUGCUUUAUUGGCUCCUAUUGUGUUGAACUGUGAUUCAAUCCAACUCUCUUCUGGGUUUGUUGCUUUUGGUUUACUGGUCCAACAUUUGUGAUCAAAAUCGAAACUUUAAUGAUUCUUAUUGGUGCUUUGACUGCUUUCUGGGUUUUUGAGUUUAACAAUUGUAGAAAUAUAGCUGCAUAAAAUUGAUGUCUGUGCUUGAUAAAGAGAUAUCAAGCAGUAGUAGAGAUUGUGGGGAUGAUGAUGGUGAGGAGGAGGAGGAUGAAAAUGGUGCCGGGGUCAAUGAGAGAUGCAGAUGCAAAGCCAAGGAUGGAAAGAAGCAGAGUAGUGGGAUUGGGUUUACAAGGAAUUUGGGGAAGGCCAAACAGGUUGUACUGUCUCCAUUCACAAAAGCCAAGAAGCAAUUGCCUAGAAGACACAGGGCUGCUGCUCCUUCCUGUUCACCGUUUGCUUCAGGUAAGAGGUUUGGAGCUAGUGGAGGUAAUACAGGAUGUUACUUAUGUUUCAUGCCAUCAUUAACUGUGGAUUCAUCGGCUGAGUCUCCCAGCAGCGAUCCGAAUAGCCCGAAUUUUAGUUAUGGGAAGUUGAGGAGUUUAAUUGAGAAGAAUGAUUUCUAUUCCAAAGAAUGCAAUUACCAUUUAAACUUUGAUCCUGAAUCACCAAGCUAGAGGUUGAAAGGCAUUGCUUUCCGAUUUGUACAAUGGCUAAUGCUGUUGUUGUUUGUUGUGUGGAAGUGAUCCUUGAGGAUUUUCCCAAGAGCAGUUUGAGAGGUUGUAGAACUUGCAUUUAUAAGAAAAGUGUCAUUGUUUUGAAGUUGGAAGUGAAGUUUUUUGCGGCGUUUUGUUGUCUUGUGUUUCAUUGUGAGAAUGAGAGCCUGAGACAAUGCUGGUGAUAGAUGUUCAGUCAUUUAGUGCAGGUUUGUUUCAAGAAUGUAUGCCAAACAAGCCCUAGACAACGGAUGGUAAACCAAGAUUGGUUAGCAGUUCAUGUCUCUUCACUUGGGAAUUCUGAUUCCGAAGUUUUGUUGUUAGGCUAUGGUUCAGAAUCAAAGCCUGUUAAUGAUUCAAUAUCUAUGGACAACCGCUUGCAGUGUUACAUUUUUGGUAAAUAUAUGCAGUACUACAUUGCUACUACAUUGCUUUGUGGACAAGUUGAAUUGUUUGUUUAAUGUCCUAUAGUUAUCUCUAAUGCAAAUUUUUGGCGCAAGUAUGUGCUGCAAUGUUGUAGUCCACAUUUACAUAUGAAAGAUGAAAAGUACAUUAAUCAGUUGUAGGAGUGGAAGAGGUUGAAACCUUUGUAUUCUUUCAAUUUGUGAACUCAUAUAACCUCUCGGUUUAUGUGGUAUUGUCUUGUGAUGUUUUGUGGCUACGUUCAAAAUUUUAUCCAACUGAGUUUGGGGUGAACUAGGUUUUACGUAUGAAAGAAAAAGACUCCUUUGAUCAAUUGUAGGAGUGCAAGACGUUAAAAAUCUUUCAAUUAAAAUUUGUAAAUUCAUCGGCACCUUGUUUCAUGUGGUAUUGUUUUCUGAUAUUGUGUAGAGAAUAGAGCUCAAAACUUUCUCAAUCAAAUGAGCAAAGUUCGGGUUCUUCAUUGAGAGGCAUAUUGCAUAAGAUGUUGCAGUCAUUCCAAGUACCAUCUACGGUAUGCACUUUCCUGCCUUUACUUUCUUUUAUAUGCCUUGGGUCUUGUGAGUGAAUCUCUUUUAGACUGCAAUGAUGAAGAGUGGAGUUAAAUCUUUUCGACUAUAUAGCUACAUUUCCAUUGCUUUACGCUUCUCUAAACACAUAAGUAGUUCUUAGCAUAAACUUAAAUCAAGCAGCUGCUCCAAGAAGUAAUUGUUUGGACAGGAAACCAUUUUAGGCUCUAAUUUGUAUCUUUGAUAAACAAUUACUUAAUUAGACUACUUGUUAAAUAAUCUUAGAUUUAUAUUCAUACUUUUGUGAAAUUUGUGAAAUAUCUCCUGGUGAGUGGACAGAAUUGUAAAUUUUCUUCAAUGGGGACUCCUAUUUCCAGAAAUAUCUGGCUUUACUUCUUUAUAGGCGUUUGGUCCUGUGAAUGGACUUCUUUUAUUCUUAUUGUAGAAUCUUUCUUGAAUGCAAAAAUUAGUUGUAGAACUCUUUUGAACUGUCAUGCUUUUUCUUGCUACUUCAAACACCUCAAUGAUUUGGAGCCUAAAGUUAAGUCAGGCAGUUAAGCAGUUUAAAGGCUUUUAAAUAGUGGAGUAAGUGUUGAAUAAGCAGUUUAGAUUAUUUGGUUUUGUAUUGAAGAUAAUUUAGAUGACACAGUUGAAGUAAUGUUUAUGGUUUGUUAUUUCUCAUGAGACAGACUGGAUUCCCAUUUUGCUCUCUCACAAUUGUUUUUAAUCUUAAAAUCUUUGCAAAAUCUUAGGUCAUUUGUUAAAGCAUAUUGAAGUUUGCUUUUUAUAUACACAGGAGUUUUAAUCAAUACUAGUAACAGGGCCAUCUUCUCGUAAAGACAUAAGUUGGUUUAAUUCAGUCGUUGGUUUGCACUUUCCAAGAUAUGUUGGAGUGCUGAAAGGAGGGACAGAGUUGGUUAAAAGUGUGUUGAAAGCUAUCUGCUUAAAUGUAAUUCCUUGCCAUAGAAGAUCUUUCUUUUGAAAUAAACCUUUAAGUGAGAUUCGGAUAUGAAAUGAUCCUAGCUAGACUGAUAUGAUGGAAGUACUGGCUUCCAGCUUAUGAGUGCAGUUUCUUUGAUACAUCACUACGUUUUGCAAUCCUCGGAAGCUACUUAUUUCAUUUCUGGUAAUAAAUUCAUAGUUCACAGACAUGUUUUUGUUCUGGUUACAUUGCCACGCAAAGCCAAGCAGUUAUGUACUUAUGUUACUGUGAAAAAUGUCACUGGAUAGCUUCUCAUUCUAUGGAGCUUGAAAACCAAUGUGAGAUAUAAAAGCAUUUACCUUCUCCUUCAAGCAUGUGCUUAGGGAGGUGAAGGUCUGGCUUAGGAGGUGGGAAAGACCUCCCACCUGAAUCUCCUUCCUGCUCUGAACUCUUAGUUUGGGUCAUGUUCUGUGGGAGAUUUCCUUAUAGUGGUGUAUGUAUUGUUCCUUAUCAAAAUAUAUAGAAAAGUAAAGGCUUCCUAUUCUGAUGGAUAAACCAAAUUGCCGCUUUAUUGCAAAAACAAGAUUAGAUUGCCGAAAGCAUAUGGUCCGCACCAAGAAAAUAUCUGUGUGAUUAUGUCAAAUCCAGGAAGAGUCCCCCAAUACACUAAUAGGAACCCAAAGCAUGGAACGUGCACAGCAUGGAAUGAAGUGGUGAAAUUUAAUGCAGUAUGGGAGAAAAUUUGUUCCCUUCCUAGUUGUAAGCAACUUCCAAAUUGUAGACUUCAUCCCCACACAAGUGGUGUCACCUCCAUGAAUAUAUGGGAAUGUUACAGCAAAUAUAUGAGAAUGCUACCAUAGAAUGUUACAGCAAUACAAGCAAUUCUGGUCGCUUCAUGAACCGGCAUUUACAUUGGAGUUAUCGAAAAAUGUGAUUAACCGAAGUAAGCGGUUUUCAUUCUACUAAAAGAUGCGAUUAACAAUGUGAUUACCGGUUAGUGAACAUAAGAAAAUGGUCGGCAAUGUGAUCAGUAUCACAUCUUUACGCUACUAUCGACAGCUACCGGAAAAUGGACAUCAGAAAAGGAGAGGUGAACACUACACUCUUCUCAACCUUUGUAUUGAGCCAAAUAUGGAUGCAGUGGAGUUGCUUUGGUAUCUAGUUCAAAUACCGACUACUGAGACAAUGAGUGACUGACUGUGAUACCAUCCAUACCAAUUGCAGCCAACUCAUUGACUCAUUCUGCAGAAAGAAAUCAAAACAAAGUUGCUCAUAAUUUUCCAUUUCAAGAUAGGAUAAAGGUAAAAGGAUGGCCCCAAGAUGGCAAUAAAUAUACUUCUAAUCAAAUAAAGGAGAUAAAAAGGGCAAAGCCAUAUGUGCAAGUAUGGGCCAAAAUCUAGUAGUGCGCGUUAGAUGCCCUUUUCCUAGGGUAAUCUGACCCUUAAACAAAGGGACGAGCCGGCCAACACCAAACUCUCAGAAGAAUCAGAUAAAACGCAGCAGGAUUGGGCUCCCCUCCACGUGACUACCAUAAGUCAUUACUCUCUCUCUUUUGUUGGUUUCCUCCAGAAAAGGCAUGGUCUUCUGUCCCAACUCUUCUCUCUGUAACCCAACUUCUCAGUUCCCCAUUAUCAGUUUAAUCUCAGUAGUGAAACCAUGAUUAGCUUACCCACUUUGAGUUAUUAUAUAUUAUGUUGGGUUUCCACUGCUAUAAGUUAUAGGGAUGUGAGAGCUUACUAUAUAGGGAAAGGCGCGGCAGACCAAUCCAAAGCCAACCCACUUGUCCCCUCCAGCUACACCCCUCUUUGGAUCCAUUUCUUGUUGUGGACCCAGUCUGGGUUUUUUAUGCUUUCUAAAUUUGGAUCAUCUUUCCCUUGUUUAAUUAGUAAAGGCGGUUCCUUCAUAUACUGGUUUAGUACUUGAAGCUGCUGCUGGGCUGUGAAACUGUGAAAGCAGAGAAGAGACAGAGAAGACGGUGAUCGAGAAUAGUGUGGGGGCUCUGUUUCAAAGUUUGAUACUUUAUAGGACCCAGCUUUGCAUUUCUUGCUACCAGUCAAGUUUUCAAUCUCUAUAAGUUGAGGGUCACUUCUGCAUCUGAAAGCUACAGAAGUUCUCUGCUUACUGCAGCUUAAAAAGGUUAGGCUGCUUUCAUUUUUUUGCUCAUGUUCUAUUUUUUUUCUAGCAAAGUUCUUUUAUUUUCUUAUUUUUGACGCUUAGUUGUUACUACAGUAACUAUGGCUUCUUUGACUGAUUUGGUAGUUGUUUUGAGCUUAGCAGUUUUAUUCUUUGGGAUUCCAUUGAUGAACUAGUUGAUUCUGAAUUGGUUGUGUAAGAAUCAGUGUAGCUUGGUAUUUUUUUUUUUUUCUUCUCUAGUUUCAGUGAGGUUUUUGAAUCCCUGUUCGUGUUGUUCAAUUGCUUUCUGUCGGCAGUGGUCAACAGGUUAAAGAUCCUUAGAUUUGAGUGAGGAUAUGUCUUGCUUUUGAACUUUUGAGACCUUGAUCACGAGUUAUGCAAGUCUAAGUUGCAAACUGGGCAAGUUAUAGUUUGCGGGAGUUGGUUGAGAAACUGUUGUCAGUUUUGUUAGUGGUUGUGAUAGUGACUUUUGAGUAGUCACAAGUAAGAUGGAAAGCAACAAUCAUUUCUGGACAAAUUUUAGCGAUUGUGGUAGCCUGUUAGAUUGUUAUUCCUUGAAGAAAAGGGAUUCUAGAGCUUCCUUUGGAAAUGUUUUUGAUUCAUUUCUAUAAUAGUGUUGUGCUUGUUGUGCCUGUUGUAUUUGUUGUAUAAGUUUUCCUCACUGCAGAAGUUUUACAUUAAGCUUUAUGAGUAUUGCCAUUUUAGGAAUCAUGCCUCUGCUCCUGAUUCAUACUUGUAUUACUUUGAUGAUCGUAGUGGUAAUAGUUAUGAUGGAACUAAUAUCAAACAUAAGUAGCGUAUGUAAUUAAUUCUAGUAAUGUUUUUCAAAAGGUUGAACAUUAUUUUGAUUACUGGUAUUUUUGUUUUCACUGUGCAGUUUAUGUGAGAAUGUCGUCUUCAAGACCCAGUCACUCAUCCAGCAAUUCAGGGAGAUCAAGACACAGUGCUAGAGUUAUUGCUCAGACAACUGUAGAUGCAAAGCUUCAUGCAAACUUUGAGGAGUCGGGCAGUUCCUUUGACUACUCGAACUCAGUGCGUGUUAGCAGUGAAGUUACUGGGGAUCAACAACCUAGGUCUGACAAAGUGACCACUGCUUAUCUCCAUCACAUACAGAAAGGGAAGCUGAUCCAGCCAUUUGGGUGUUUGCUAGCCUUAGAUGAUAAAACAUUCAGGGUCAUUGCAUACAGUGAGAAUGCCCCUGAAAUGCUGACUAUGGUUAGUCAUGCUGUCCCGAGUGUUGGGGAUCACCCAGUUCUUGGCAUAGGAACAGAUGUAAGAACAAUUUUCACAGGCCCUAGUGCCUCUGCAUUGCAUAAGGCCCUCGGGUUUGGGGAGGUUUCUCUCUUAAAUCCCAUCCUAGUCCAUUGCAAGUCAUCUGGAAAGCCUUUCUAUGCUAUAGUCCACCGGGUGACAGGUAGUUUGGUCAUUGAUUUUGAACCAGUCAAGCCGUAUGAAGUCCCCAUGACUGCUGCUGGAGCUCUGCAAUCAUACAAGCUUGCAGCCAAAGCAAUUGCACGAUUGCAGUCUUUGCCUAGUGGGAGCCUGGAGAGGCUUUGUGAUACAAUGGUUCAAGAGGUGUUUGAGCUUACUGGUUAUGACAGGGUGAUGGCCUAUAAAUUUCAUGAUGAUGAUCAUGGGGAAGUGGUUGCUGAGCUUACCAAGCCUGGCCUGGAGCCGUACCUGGGUUUGCACUAUCCAUCCACUGAUAUACCUCAAGCUUCACGGUUCCUUUUUAUGAAGAAUAAGGUUCGUAUGAUUGUCGACUGUUGUGCAAAAAAUGUCAAGGUCCUUCAAGAUGAGAAGCUUCCUUUGGAUCUAACAUUGUGUGGUUCAACCCUCAGAGCCCCACAUAGUUGCCAUUUGCAAUAUAUGGAGAACAUGAACUCCAUUGCUUCUCUUGUUAUGGCAGUGGUGAUCAAUGAAGGGGAUGAUGAGGUUGCCGGUCCUGAUUCUGCGCAGACUCAAAAAAGAAAGAGACUCUGGGGUUUAGUAGUAUGUCAUAACACAACUCCAAGGUUUGUCCCUUUCCCACUCAGAUAUGCCUGUGAGUUUCUAGCUCAAGUGUUUGCCAUCCAUGUGAAUAAGGAAUUAGAGUUGGAGGAUCAGAUGAUUGAAAAGAACAUCCUGCGCACACAAACGCUGUUGUGUGAUAUGCUGUUGCGUGAUGCUCCUUUGGGUAUUGUGUCACAAACACCUAAUAUUAUGGAUCUAGUGAAAUGUGAUGGGGCUGCCUUACUGUACAAGAACAAGAUAUGGAGACUUGGAUUAACUCCAAGUGACUUCCAGAUUCAGGACAUAUCCUUGUGGCUCUCUGAGUGCCAUAUGGAUUCCACAGGUUUGAGUACUGAUAGCUUGUAUGAUGCAGGUUUCCCUGGGGCUCUCGCUCUUGGUGAUGUAGUAUGUGGAAUGGCAGCUGUGAAGAUUACUUCCAAGGACAUUAUUUUUUGGUUCCGAUCCCACACUGCUGCAGAAAUCCGAUGGGGUGGUGCAAAACAUGACCCGGAUGAGAAGGACAAUGGCUGGAAAAUGCACCCUAGAUCAUCAUUCAAGGCUUUCCUUGAAGUUGUCAAGACAAGGAGCUUACCAUGGAAGGACUAUGAAAUGGAUGCAAUUCAUUCUUUGCAGCUUAUUCUGAGGAAUGCAUUCAAGGAUGUUGGAGACAUGGAUGUAAACAACAAUGGAAUCCAGAUGCAGCUUAGUGACCUGAAAAUUGAUGGGGUGCAAGAACUGGAAGCAGUGACAGGUGAGAUGGUUCGAUUGAUUGAAACAGCAUCAGUGCCAAUUUUGGCAGUUGAUAUUGAGGGAUCAGUUAAUGGGUGGAAUACAAAAAUUUCUGAGUUAACUGGUCUUCCUGUUGAUAAAGCAAUUGGAAAGAAUUUGCUCACACUUGUGGAAGAAUCUUCAACUAUCAUGGUGGGCAGGAUGUUGGAGUUGGCAUUGCAAGGUAUGUUGUAAACCCUGUUGUAAAAUUUUUCAUUUUAGAUGUCAAGGCAGCACUGACCAUAUAUGCAUAUGCAUGUGUGAACCAAGUACAUCUGUGUAUUCCUAGCCAUGAGUAUCACAGAUAUCUUCCACACAUGACACACCCCCUCUCUCCCUUUCGGCCUUUCCCCUUCUCCACCCUCUUCCUUCUGGGUGUGAAGAGUGGAAAUGGGAUUUAUUUGCUGUUCUUUUCAGAGUUGUUCAUGUUUAUUAUUGCUGUUCAUUGGAUCAGCUAAGUUCAUUUUUUUUUUUCUCUUUGCUUCUGGUCAGGCAAAGAGGAACAAAACAUCCAAUUCGAGAUAAAAACACAUGGUGCUAGGGCUGACUUUGGUCCCAUCAGCUUAGUUGUGAAUGCUUGUGCAAGCAGAGAUAUUCAUGAAAAUGUUGUGGGAGUGUGCUUUGUGGCCCAGGAUAUUACAGGUCAGAAGACUGUGAUGGACAAGUUCACUCGGAUUGAAGGUGAUUACAAAGCAAUUGUACAAAACCCAAAUCCUUUGAUACCCCCAAUAUUUGGCACUGAUGAAUUUGGCUGGUGUUCUGAGUGGAAUCCAGCAAUGACUAAGUCGACUGGUUGGAAACGAGAGGAGGUAAUGGAUAAAAUGCUGUUGGGGGAGGUUUUUGGGAUCCACAUGGCAUGUUGUCCUCUGAAGAAUCAAGAAGCUUUUGUAAACCUUGGUGUUGUAAUCAAUCGCGCCAUGACUGGUGAGGUGUCCGAAAAGGUUCCUUUUGGUUUCUGGAAUCGGGGUGGAAAGUACACUGAAUGUUUGUUGUGUGUAAGUAAGAAAUUGGACAGUGAGGGUGCAGUCACUGGAGUCUUUUGCUUUUUGCAGCUUGCUAGCCUAGAAUUGCAACAAGCACUUCAUGUCCAACGUUUAUCUGAACAAACUGCUGUGAAGAGAUUUAAAGCAUUAGCUUAUAUCAAAAGGCAGAUCAGGAAUCCUUUGUCUGGAAUACUAUUUUCUCGGAAAAUGAUCGAGGGUACUGAGUUGGGAGCAGAACAAAAACAGCUCAUACAUACCAGUGCCCAGUGCCAGCAGCAGCUCAGCAAAAUACUAGACGACUCAGAUCUUGAUAGCAUCAUUGAUGGGUAUGACAAUAUCCUGUACUUGUAGAGUUAUUUUCCUUAUGUUAAGGCAACUCAUGAAAUUCUUGAUGGCCUUGGAUUUGCAUCUUUAUCUAGUCCCCAGGGUACCUUAACUGAUAGUAAUUAGUUUUUCAUGGAUCACUUGAAAUGAUUUAUGGGGAUUCACCUUUAGAUUCUUAUAAUGUUAGAUUAAAUCUGAGCAUAUUCUUUUCUGUAGAAGCUAUUGAAGUAUUCAAUUUCAGUUGUCCAUAUAUCCAUAGUGAAAGUGAUGCGGUGAGACCUAAUUAGUUCCUUCUUUUUUCUGAUCAUUUGACAGCUACUUGGACCUGGAAAUGGUUGAGUUCACUUUGCAGGAAGUAUUGGUUGCCUCUAUUAGUCAAGUCAUGAUUAAGAGCAGUGCUAAGAGUAUCCGGAUUGUCCAAGAUGCGAAUGAAGAGAUAAUGACUGAGACAUUGUAUGGUGAUAGUCUUAGGCUUCAACAAGUCUUGGCUGAUUUCUUAUCAGUGUCGGUUAAUUACAUGCCGUCUGGAGGCCAGCUUACUCUAGCAACGAAUUUGACAAAAGAUCAGCUGGGUCAAUCUGUUCAUCUUGCACAUUUGGAAUUCAGGUACAGCUUUGAAUACAUAGUAUUGAUGUCUGCUUUAACUCUUACCAAUUGCUAGUUUCUACAUACAGACAAACAGUUUCCACCCAAAUAACAACAACAACAACAAAAAAAAAACUUUUUGAGGUCUUUGAAACUUGUUGAGGAACUAGUUCCGUAGCUGUACACUAAUCUCAGCUGCAAAGAGUGAAUUUUUGAGGCCAAAUGAGUAGUACUAUAACAUAUAAAUAAAGAUUGAAGCCUAUCAGAUCAACUGGUUUCUUGUAUCAGUUGGUUGCUUGUGUUACAACUUACAACUUAAAGUGAAUAUCAGUCAUCAAAUGCUGAAUUGAUAUGUUGGAUCAGGAUAUCACAUGCGGGCGGUGGGAUUCCAGAAGGAUUACUGAACCAGAUGUUUGGAACAGAUGGUGACAUAUCUGAAGAAGGCAUUAGCCUACUUAUAAGCCGAAAGCUAGUGAAGCUCAUGAAUGGAGAUGUACAGUAUCUCCGGGAAGCAGGGAAGUCGAGCUUCAUCAUAUCCGCGGAACUUGCUGCUGCACAUAUGAUCAGGUCCUAGACAUUCAGUUUCCAGUGACAUGACAUUACCUUACCGAUCUCAAGUGUACAGCCUACCAGGAAUGAGAGUCGGAUGAUGCAACUUUACAGAUUAUGCCGGAAAUUUCAGCUUAGCUCUGUUCUUAGCACUUUGCAUUUCUGCUUUGCACUGUAAAUAGGCAUGUAUCGCUUUGUUCUUAACAUGUUUUUACCUUGUGACGGAAUAAAAAGAGAAAUGGGGAAAGAUUUUGCAGUUUGCAAUAUUCCUUGUAUGCAUGUAUGAAUUACAGACUUAGAGCAACUUCAAUGAAGUUGUCAAAAUGCUAUUGUCAAAUUUGAAUUUGACUAGUGAUGUGGCUGUGUCAAAAUUGGCAAAAAUCAACUCCAACCAAAGUGUCUAAUUUAAAUCAUAUUCUAUUUAUUUCUAACAUAAAAUUUUUUUUUUCUCUUAUUUAUCUCUUGUGCUGCACAACCUACACCCACAGCCACCCACUUUUUACCUCUCCAUCUUUGCCUUCCUCCUCCUCCUUUCCUCUGUUUCUUCUCCUCCUCUCCCUCUCGUUUUUUUCUUUCUUCUCCAACUCUUCUCUUUCUAAUCAAAGAGACUUUGAACACAGAUCAAAUCUUUUAUAACUUAGUUUGUUCAAGCCACCUUUUUUCCUUACUCGUUUUUCUUCUUCUUAAUUCUUACCUAAAGCCUACAGAAACCCAUCCACUCCAGAAAAAUCCCCACACAAUCGAAGCCCCAAUUUCAAGAUUCAGUUCUUCUAAAUCCCUUCUAAUUUUAUUUACAGACCCAAUGAGAAGCUGUAUUCUGAAAUUUGGAUCUUUUUGAAGGUGGUGGUGAGAAAUUGUGUUCUGAAAUUUGGAUCUUUUUGAUGAAGGGAGCUUCUCAGCAGAGAAGGAAGAGAGAAGGAAUAGGAACAAUAGAAUAAGAUUUGAAAUGCUUGGUUCAUACGGUCAAAUUUGACAAUGUUGUGCUCAAGGUCAAAUCCAGGUCGGAAUUGACACAGCCACGUCGUAUUUGGCAUCUUCAAUGGAGGAACCAAAAGUUGUCAAAACUAGCUGUUGAGCCUCGACCCUGUCAUUUGACAGGUUUGUUGGAGAUGCUCUUACAGUUCUGUUCUUUUGCUGACAAACCACUUUCACGUGUGGGAUCCCUGUGCAAGUUAAAAUUUGCAUUUCUAUAUAUCACCAACUAUGACUCAAUACCACACUUGAUUCACAUACUUCCAUUGUUGAAAUGCAUUUCCUGUGUCAGAUUUCAAAUUCAUAAUGUUGUGAACAGAGCAACAUACAUGUUUAAGUUCUCAAUAAAAGUGGUACAAUAUGCAGAUCACUUCAGAAUGGUAGAGGUGGUACGUUAUAUGUUCAAAACUCAUGUAUUCUUAAUUUGUAGUUUUUGUUGUAAUGGUUCUACUCAGUGAAGUAUUGUGAAGUUUAUUUUGAUAAAACUGUUUUGUUGGAGAAAACCACAAAAUAGACAAAUAUCAAGAAGUAAGCAAAACGUUAUAAGAUCAAGGACCUCGAAUCAAAUAAGGAAAUGAGAUGGUUGUGCUGGUGCACUUUGGAACUCAGGCUGACGUACAAAUACAGACCAAAUACCAAAUAAAUCAAAUCCGGUCUAGAAUGUCUUUUUAAGGAGAUGGAGAUGCAUGACAUUUUAGUACAAAACAUCUUUGCAACACGCUUCUGGUAUACUGUACCCUCUGACUCUGCCUUUUUUUCAUUAAUAAAAAAAAGAAAAUAUUGUUAUAAAUAAUAAAAAUAAUAGAAAUUGUGCGGCUGUUCAUAUAAUUAUAUUAUUUUGGGUUUAACAUAUAAUACAUACUCAAUAGCUAGAGUUCAUUGUGUAGAUUGUGGAAAACUAGAGAUUGAUCACCAAGUAACUUGUGAGUGAAGAUCAAGUAACAUAUGAGUUAAGGGUGAAGAUCAAGUUUGAGUGAUCACCGUUUCCAUACAAGGACUAAGUUUUAUGUACCGUGCUCUUUAAUUUUAGCCGAUGUUCUAAAAAACGUUAAGUGCUAGUCAGACGGAUGACCGGUGACGAACACCUAAGCGAAUUAAUUGGUUUUCUAGCUCUACAUGGAAACGGUGAAACACCACUUAGGCUAAUCGGCUCUAAGCGGGAUGGUUUUAGCUCAGGCGCGGCCCAUAUAAACAUUCAUAGACCAAGUCAAAGGACGCUCAAAGCUGACCACCCGCACCCCACAGAAUCAGUUACCUGAGACUAGAAAACCACACCGUCUUCUCCACUCUAACCAAAAUCUUCAGCCUUGAAUUUCCAAUGAACCUCAAGUCGCUCUCUUUCGCCGCCGAGACCCCUCCGCUCUCAGUUCUCGCGGCGGCCAAGCUCGCCGGUGUUUCUGUCCCCGCCGACGCCUCUCUUGCUCCCGAUUCUCCUCCGGUUCUUCACUUCUGCAAUGGGUAAAACCCUAAACCCUUUCUAUUAUACUCCCUUCGCUUUCCUUUACUCUCUCUUAUCUUCAAGGUUUUCAAAUUUGGAUUUGCCUUCGAUUUUGCAGGCGAAAACUGCGCGGCGUUUUGCCGCUUCUUCGCUAUUUCGGCGGUAUUGCAAAUCUGUGCGGCGCCGAUGCGUUUCAAGAGGCUAAGAUUGCGGAGUGGCUUGAGUACGCUCCUGUGCUUUCGGUUGGCUCGGCGUUCGAGAAUGCCUGCAAGCAUUUGGAUGAGUACGUGGGAAGCCGAACCUUCUUGGUUGAUCACUCGUUUUCGAUUGCCGAUAUCGCAAUCUGGUCAGGCCUUGCAGGUUAGUAGCUUUGAUUGGAUGAUUGAUAGGAUAGGAGUGUUAGAGAUAUUUGUAUUGGUUUCGGUUAGUGUUGUUAAAGUCUAUUGCUUGGCAGGAGCUGGACUUAGAUGGGAGAGUUUGAGGAAGUCUAAGAAGUAUCAGAAUCUUACUAGGUGGUAUGGUUCGAUAUUGGCCGAACACGGUGAUGCGUUGAAUCAAGUAACAGCUGCUUAUGUUGGCAAGAAAGGCGCGGGGAAGUUGAAAGAGAACAUUGCCAGUCAGAAGUCGAAUGGCGUGAAUGGAGAUGCAGAGAAAGCGGGAACUCCCACCACACGAGGAAAAUACGAGGUGGAGCUUCCUGAGGCUGAGGUUGGGAAGGUGAAGUUGAGGUUUGCGCCGGAGCCAAGUGGUUAUCUUCACAUUGGGCACUCAAAGGCAGCUUUGUUGAAUACUUACUUUGCUCAGAAGUAUAAAGGUGAGGUAAUUUUGCGGUUUGAUGAUACAAAUCCUGCGAAAGAGAGCAAUGAGUUUGUGGAUAAUCUUAUCAAGGAUGUCGAGACUUUGGGUGUCACGUAUGAGAGGAUUACCUAUACUUCUGAUUAUUUCCCUGAGUUGAUGAAAAUGGCCGAGAAGCUGAUUUUCGAAGGUAAAGCAUAUGUUGAUGAUACACCUAGAGAGCAGAUGCAAAAAGAACGAAUGGAUGGGAUUGAGUCGAAGUGCAGAAACCAUAGCAAAGAGGAAAAUUUGAAAUUGUGGGAGCAAAUGAUUGCAGGUUCAGAGAGGGGUCUGCAGUGUUGUGUUAGAGGAAAGCUGGAUAUGCAGGAUCCUAAUAAAUCACUCAGAGAUCCUGUUUAUUAUCGUUGCAACCCAAUGCCGCAUCAUAGGAUUGGGGCCAAGUACAAGGUCUACCCAACUUAUGACUUUGCUUGUCCAUUUGUUGAUUCCAUUGAAGGUAUAACUCAUGCACUUCGAUCUAGUGAGUAUCAUGACCGCAACGCCCAGUACUAUUGGAUUCAAGGUGAUAUGGGACUGAGAAGAGUGCAUAUAUACGAGUUCAGUAGGUUGAACAUGGUCUACACACUCCUCAGCAAGCGCAAGCUUUUGUGGUUUGUUCAAAAUGAGAAGGUCAAUGGAUGGGAUGAUCCUCGAUUUCCCACUGUUCAAGGAAUUGUGCGCAGAGGUCUCAAAAUUGAAGCAUUGAUACAGUUCAUUCUUGAGAUGGUAAGACACUAAUCUUUAAUACCAUGAUUAACACAGUAUAUGUUUAUAAUAGCAUCUUACAAAACCUUAACUGCUAGACGCCAAGUGUGUGGAUGACCUAAUGGGAAGCACUAGUUGGUCAUGAAAUAUAGUUCCUGUCUACUGCUUCUUAUGUCCUCUGUUUCAUAGUUGUACUAGUUUAUCUUUACAAUGGAGGCUUUUUUAUUUAUCCAAACUUUGAAUGAUGAACUUAAUAGUUGAUUUUUAAUUAUUGUAUGAUUUAGGGGGCUUCAAAGAAUCUGAAUCUUAUGGAAUGGGACAAACUGUGGACAAUUAACAAGAAGAUUAUUGAUCCUGUAUGCCCAAGACACACUGCCGUCAUUGAAGAGGGACGAGUGUUGUUGACCCUCUCUAAUGGCCCUGACAAGCCAUUUGUCCGCAUGAUACCUAGGCAUAAGAAGUAUGAAGGUGCUGGAGAGAAAGCAACGACAUUCACAAGGAGCAUAUGGAUAGAUCGAGCUGAUGCAGAGUUGAUAUCAGUUGACGAGGAAAUCACGUUGAUGGAUUGGGGGAAUGCCAUUGUUAAGAAGAUUGAUAAAGACCAAGAUGGAAAUCUUGCACUCACAGGGGUUUUGCAUCUUGAAGGAUCUGUGAAAACCACCAAAUUGAAGCUUACCUGGCUGCCUCAAAUAGAUGAACUGGUUAAGCUCUCGUUGAUGGAGUUUGAUUAUCUGAUAACAAAGAAGAAGGUAUGUGCCAUUCAACAAUUGUGAAGUUUCCUAUGCCUUGCUAAAAUGUUUAACCUGUGGACUCUGUAAUUCUAUGCAUGAUAGUUUAUGCUUGCCCAUGAUGACACUGAAAUGUAAUUGAAUUGGUUGUUUUGAUUUGCGAUUGCAGCUUGAGGAAGGUGAGGAUUUCCUUGAUGUGAUUAACCCAUGUACUGAAAAGGAGACAGCUGCCCUUGGGGAUACCAACAUGCGAAAUCUGAAACGUGGAGAUGUAUUGCAACUUGAGAGGAAAGGAUACUUCAGAUGUGAUGUUCCGUACCUCAGGCCAUCAAAGCCUAUUGUUCUCUUUGCAAUCCCUGACGGCAGGCAGCAGGCUGGGUUAAAGUGAAGAGCUUCAAGAAUUUUUUGGCUUCAUGAUUUUGAUAGAAAACUUUUUAUUUCAAAAUUGAAUGGUAGAACUUUUAACUAGUUUGACACUCCUAAAAGUACCUUUCAGUUCUUGUAGUCUUCUAUUCAGAAUAUUUGGCAAGGUUUUGAUGGAAUGAGAUUUCUGUUAAUAAUUCUGUACUGAAUCUUUAACUGUGUGGCUAUCAGAAUAUUUGGCAAGGUUUUCAUGGAAUGAGAUUUCUGUUUAUAAUUCUGUAUCAAAUCUUGUGUUGGAAGUUGCUUGGAAGUUGCAACCUGGUUGGAAGUUGCUUGGAAGUUGCUAUAUUUCUCUGUUUGUAAUGUUCUUUCAUUUCAUUGCUAUUGCUAUAUGUAAACCUUGGUGUUUUUGAUCAUUCACAGACGUACACCUUCAAUACUUGUUAACAAACAAGUAGAGGGAGUCGUGCAGAAAUUUCAAAAAUCUCUUGGUGCACUACAAUUUAUAAUGUGUUGGUACCACCUGGUAAGACACUAGAGUAGCAUAUAUAAUCCGUCUAUGGUUGAUAAGUAUCAUAUAUAAAGAACUGUAUCCUCUUAAGAAUCCUCAAUAAAUUAAGGAAGCUGUGGAGUAAAGCUGUUUUGACAACUAUUGUUGAUUUGUUGUUUCUUGAGACCAUGGAGCUUAACAUUUUCUGGUAAAGUUAAACUACGAGUCUUAUCUUAGGCGUGAUUCAAACAUCUCUAAAUUUUCUUUUAAAAUGGCCAUAACGUUAUGGAACCUGUAGAAAACAAUGAACACAUAAGCCAUAUUAAACGAAAGCAAUGAUAUUUCAAAUUGAAUGGUUGAACUUUUAAACUAACAAUCUCUGCUCCCCUUGUUUGUUCUGGUGAAGAGUCUUCCUAUUUGAAAUGUCUUAUUGCCUUAAAGAAAACAUAUAUGGUUGAACUUUUAAACUAACAAUCUCUGCUCUCCUUGUUUGUUCUGGUGAAGAGUCUUCCUAUUUGAAAUGUCUUAUUGCCUUAAAGAAAACAUAUUAUGCACCUAAUAGCUCCUACCCCUGCAAAAUUUUCUUUCUCUAUAAUUGCUUCAUCCCGCUAUGUUCAUGGACUUUUCCCUUUGAAUGUUUCUGUUCAAGGGUCUAGGCUCAUGUUCAUGUAGUGUUUGAUUGUAGGGGAUUUUAAUUUCUUUUGGAGGGGUUAGUGUCUCCAACUAACUCUGAUUGAGCCAAAAGUGAGUCAUGAUUAUAAGUGGGAACAACCAAAAUGUAACAAUCACUUUUGCAUCAUUUCCACAAAACCAGUCUUUUCCAUUGUUGAAGAACAUCAAUAGCAAUGAAAGUUCCACCAAGGUUGGUGAAUCUCUGGUUAGAAAGUGUAACAAACUUCACCAAGAAGCUAGUUAUUAAAUCAUUUCAGAUUAGGAAGACAACUACUCCUCCAGACUUGAAUGUGUUAUUAACUACUUGUUAUCAAGUAUGUAUCAACCACCAUACAAGAAGACUUAUUUUGAAGGAACAGAAAGAAACACAGAAUGAAACAAAAGAAAAAAAAGAAACACAAUGGUUAACUAAAACAUAAUACAAUUCCCACACUCAAUCAAGCUAAGACUGAAAAUUUCUAGGCCUUGGG